rnacentral:miRNA from 1 species
GUUUGCUCACACAGUAUGAGGUAGUAGAUUGUAUAGUUUUGGGGUAGUGAUUUUGCCCUGUUUGGAAGAUAACUAUACAAUCUAUUGCCUUCCCUGAGGAGUAGCAUCUCUUC